CAGUCGAACGAGGGUCCUUCGGGACUCGAGUGGCGAACGGGUGAGUAACACGUAGGGAACCUGCCCGUGCGACCGGGAGAACUUUCGGAAACGGAAGCUGAUACCGGAUAGGGACAGAGACGGCAUCGACUCUGUGUUAAAGGAGCUGAAAGGCUCCGCGCACGGAUGGACCUGCGGUGCAUUAGCUGGUUGGUGAGGUAACGGCCCACCAAGGCGACGAUGCAUAGCCGGCCUGAGAGGGCGGACGGCCACACUGGGACUGAGACACGGCCCAGACUCCUACGGGAGGCAGCAGUAGGGAAUUUUCGUCAAUGGGCGCAAGCCUGAACGAGCAAUGCCGCGUGAACGAGGAAGGUCUUCGGAUCGUAAAGUUCUGUUGAAGGGGAAAAAGAGCGGAGAGAGGAAAUGGUCUCCGAUUGAUAUUACCCUUCGAGGAAGUCACGGCUAACUACGUGCCAGCAGCCGCGGUAAUACGUAGGUGGCGAGCGUUAUCCGGAAUGAUUGGGCGUAAAGGGUGCGUAGGCGGCCUGCUAAGUCUGGAGUGAAAGGUACCGGCUCAACCGGUACGGGCUCUGGAAACUGGCGGGCUAGAGAGCAGGAGAGGGCGGUGGAACUCCAUGUGUAGCGGUAAAAUGCGUAGAUAUAUGGAAGAACACCAGUGGCGAAGGCGGCCGCCUGGCCUGUUACUGACGCUGAGGCACGAAAGCGUGGGGAGCAAAUAGGAUUAGAUACCCUAGUAGUCCACGCCGUAAACGAUGAGGACCAAGUGUUGGGGAAGACCCAGUGCUGCAGUUAACGCAGUGAGUCCUCCGCCUGGGGAGUAUG
rnacentral:rRNA from 1 species